GCCACGCCCGAAGUCGUUACCUCAACCGCAAGGAGGGGGAUGCCUAAGGCAGGGCUAGUGACUGGGGUGAAGUCGUAACAAGGUAGCCGUACCGGAAGGUGUGGCUGGAUCACCUCCUUAAAGGGAGACCUAAUUCCGGUAGGAGACGAAAAAAAAGUAGUCGCUACCAAGAAUCAAUCCCAAAAGGUCGGAGCGAGGCAAAAUUGGCUUUCAAACUAGGUUCUGGGUUCACACAAGACCUGAAUCAGGAACAAGGGCUAUUAGCUCAGGUGGUUAGAGCGCACCCCUGAUAAGGGUGAGGUCCCUGGUUCGAGUCCAGGAUGGCCCACCUGUACAGGUGGCAAAAACAAGAGAAGCGAGGAAUCAGCACCUUAUCUUACUUAUAUAGUAAGAGAGAAUGCUGGCUCUGAGUAAAGAGUCCAGAGGAACCUUGAAAACUGCAUAGAGCUAGGUGAAAAAGCCAAAAAAGAAGACCGCAAGGUCAAGCUAAUAAGGGCUAACGGUGGAUACCUAGGCACACAGAGG
rnacentral:sRNA from 1 species